UACGAGAGGCCCAACCGUUAUUCGGAAUUACUGGGCUUAAAGAGUUCGUAGGCGGCAUGACACGUAGGGUGUGAAAGCCCUCGGCUCAACCGAGGAAUUGCGCUCUAAACUGUCGUGCUUGAGGAACCUAGAGGUGAGCAGAACAGAUGGUGGAGCGGUGAAAUGCGUUGAUAUCAUCUGGAAUACCGGAGGCGAAGGCGGCUCACUGGGAGUUUUCUGACGCUGAGGAACGAAAGCCAGGGUAGCGAACGGG
rnacentral:rRNA from 1 species